AAUGUCUUAGGUUAACAUAAACCCUGGGCCUUCAAAGUCCAACAUAAAGUCAGUUCUUUAGACAUUA
rnacentral:tRNA from 1 species